UCUGACGGAGCAACGCCGCGUGAGUGAUGAAGGUUUUCGGAUCGUAAAACUCUGUUAUUAGGGAAGAACAAAUGUGUAAGUAACUGUGCACAUCUUGACGGUACCUAAUCAGAAAGCCACGGCUAACUACGUGCCAGCAGCCGCGGUAAUACGUAGGUGGCAAGCGUUAUCCGGAAUUAUUGGGCGUAAAGCGCGCGGAGGCGGUUUCUUAAGUCUGAUGUGAAAGCCCACGGCUCAACCGUGGAGGGUCAUUGGAAACUGGGAAACUUGAGUACAGAAGAGGAAAGUGGAAUUCCCAUGUGUAGCGGUGAAAUGCGCAGAGAUAUGGAGGAACACCAGUGGCGAAGGCGACUUUCUGGUCUGUAACUGACGCUGAUGUGCGAAAGCGUGGGGAUCAAACAGGAUUAGAUACCCUGGUAGUCCACGCCGUAAACGAUGAGUGCUAAGUGUUAGGGGGUUUCCGCCCCUUAGUGCUGCAGCUAACGCAUUAAGCACUCCGCCUGGGGAGUACGACCGCAAGGUU
rnacentral:rRNA from 1 species